GGUCUGGGGCUCGGAGGGUGCUGGGCUGGUCGCAGGGCUCAGAAAGGCCCCUCGGACGCCAGCGCUGACAAGGUGCUGGUGUCCCCCCGUUUGUCUGUGGCCAGGCCAGCUUUGCAGGGAACGGUAAAUGUGCUGUUGAGCCAACUGAAUCUAUUUGGAAAAACCCAUCCCAGCUCUGGGGCACGCAGGUGAAUGUACCAAGCGGGCACACGGUGGCUUCGUUCUCUCUGUGCAGGUGCCCGUGUCCCAUCUCACAGAGCUGCUGGUGGGGACAUGACAGGCUCUGGGUGACACCGGGGGUGGUUUUGGCUCUGCCGGAUGGUGGCACUGGCACCCGUGGCCCCGGCGGCUCCACCGCUCGGCUCGGCCGCCCCUGUCGGGAAAUGCCAACUGGUCAGAACAAGACGUUUUGUAGGAAUGUGUUGUCUUUGACAAAAAUUUGUUUUGAAAGAAAAGUGGGGGGUGUGGGGGGAGGUUUUCUGAUAAGGUCAAAACAUUCAGCCUCAACCUUUUCAGAGGAGAACAUUUCAAUUUUCCACUUCAGACUGUUGUUUCAUUUCAAUUUUGUAUUAUUAUAGAAGUGCACAUAACAUAAGAAGUUGGAAUUAAAUGUUUAAAUUUUCCUGGAGCAAGCCAUUCUGUUCAGCUGAAACCAGACUUGUUACACAAUUCUACCCUGCAGAAGAUUCUAGGAUGUGCUCAGCUCCUGUUCAGGAACCGCCUCCCCUUCCACCCCGGUUUAACUGGUCUCUCAGUGAGGUCUCGCUUUUCAUUUUGUGCUGGUUUAUUGCCUGGUGAAAGGGUCUCCUAUUUCCCACGGCGGUUUCUAUUUUUACUGUAAUGGAGCUGGAGGCUCUGCCCAGCCAUCGCUUGGGCUGCUGCCAGAGCUUCAUUGUGACCGGUCUGAAAUCCCAUCUGCGGCAGGCUGGGAAAGGAGGAAAAGCACCGCUUUGAAACACUCGGAGAUUGUGCCCCUGAAACGGAUUGCGCAGUCUUUUCAAGGACAUCUUUACCCAGUGUGGGCAACGGCGAAACAUGUUCAGCUCCUUUCUGCAGAAGCUGGGAAGGACCAGAUAGAGGAAUGUGGCUGCAAGCAGAUUACAGACACAAAGCCACAGAGCUGCUGGGACUGCGCUGCGCAGAGCAAGCGCUGCUGCCCGAGCCGGCGGCAGCUGAUUCCCAGUGACGCGUCCCGAGCCGUCCCUGCAGCACAACGAGCGCUGGCACUGCCACCAGCCUCCUGGCACCUCUGCGCUCCGGCUCUAUCUGCUCUCGCACAUCUGUGCCACCGCGGCGUGCCAGCCUGGGGAGAGCCAGCCCCGCUGUCGAGCAACGUCCACAGCCCUUGUCCCCCGGGCUGCUGCUGUGCACAAGACGUUGCUUGGCAGCUGAGGCCAAAGGCUUCUCCUGGUCUGAGAGUCUGGAGCUGCAGACCGCUGUGCCGGCUGUGCCCGUCCCGGCACCAGCAGGGACUGUGCUGCAGCACCCGCCUGCGCCAGUCAGCGCUGCGGGCAGGGGGAGCGCGGCCUUGGCUCUGGCAUGCUGCUCAUUAUCAAAACCUGUGAGACAUUUGUUAGCUCGUUAGCACUCCUGCUCUGGACGGCGCCUUGGGGCUGGCGCAGGCGUGCGGCUGCGGCUCUCCGCCGUGGGCUGCUCCAAGUGCCGCGAACCCGGCACCCGAGCUGGGGACACCACCAGCAACCCCGUCACCCGCGAGCGCGGGGACGGCCCGGGGUCGGAGUAGAGGAGGACGAGGUGAUGAAGAUCAUUGGACAGCAGAAGGGUCUGGGCAGGACGUGACCAGGCUUGCUGCUGGGCAGCAGGAGGAUGGGGUGUCCACAGGAUGGAGGGGAGCGGGUUUGGACGGGCAGCCCCAGUGCCACGGGACACCCCGUCCGUCUGAGCUGCCUGCGGGCAUCACUGUCACCUGCACAGCGCUGCCCAGGGUGAGAAGGAACAGAUCCCCAGGGCACGGGUGCUGAGGUUUUGGCCUCGGCUGCGGUGCCGGGCAGAGCUGAGCCGAGCUGCCGGCAGCGAGGAGGCUGCGCGGCCCCGGGGCGCCGGUGAGUGACAGCAAACACCGGCGCUGCGCCGCGGCAGAGCGGCUCUGACAAACACUCACUGGAAAAUAAUAAAGUGGCAAAAUAAUUCUGCAUCGGACACACUUACCAGAGCAUAAAGAGUCUGAAAAGGAGACAACAUCUUGUAUCAUCUAUCUUCCUUAAAUACCCAAGCUGUGACAAAGUGGAAAGCAAAAUUAUGAUGAAUGAUCGGACAUAUUUAGUCUGUACCUGUGCUCUUUAACUAGGCCUGGUGAAAUGGGUGCUAAUGAAAAGCAGAACACCUACCAAAAAGAGGAGAUUUCAUUGAAAACAAGUCUUUAUUACAAAUUGGCACUUCGUUUUCAUAAAGUGCAUAAUGAAGGUGCAUAUUGUGACAUAAAUUAAAACAGGCAAGUGAUGGGUCAGCACUGCAAAACAUUACACAAAGACAAAUCACCAGCGAGCCCUCGACAACGGCUGUAUCUCAUUUACAAUUUUUCGAGUACGUUUUCAGAUUGUGAGGGAACACGGCUAGGUUUUGUUCAUAAACGGCAUGCCAUCAUUUAUUUUACUGCCUCAUUUGAAUAUGAUGAAUACUGUAGCCCUUUAUUUGUUCACAACAACCAAAUAAUUGUAGAUCCGUGGGUUUCUGGGCAAUUAAUCACAUUUUUUUCCUCCAACAAACCACUAUAAACAUGACAUUGAACAAUAAAGUACAUUAACCUCUG